UACAGAGGGUGCAAGCGUUAAUCGGAAUUACUGGGCGUAAAGCGCGCGUAGGCGGCUGUCUAAGUCGGGUGUGAAAGCCCCGGGCUCAACCUGGGAACUGCAUUCGAUACUGGACGGCUAGAGUAUGAGAGAGGGAGGUAGAAUUCCACGUGUAGCGGUGAAAUGCGUAGAUAUGUGGAGGAAUACCGGUGGCGAAGGUGGCCUCCUGGUUCAAUACUGACGCUGAGGUGCGAAAGCGUGGGGAGCAAACAGG
rnacentral:rRNA from 1 species